UACCUUUUCAUGGCGCAUUUUGACCCAUCUCGAAUAGGUUUAUUAAAAUCGUUUAAAUAAUUUGAUUAACAAUUUGAUCAAAUAGUUUUACGUUGGUUUUCGAAUACCAAUAACAGGAAAAGUACUUUACAGUACGAUAUGUUAGUUUUAUUAAACAAUCUUCAUUUUUUGACAUUUAAAGGAAAGCAGAAAGUAAACCGAACGUGCUAAGCUGGCGAAAACUCAGGAAAAAGUGUGCAAAGUUCGACAAAAAAAAACGAAGUCUCCGAUUGGAUGAUAGUGCACUACGGUUCCAUUCAACAAUAUUGCUCGGCAUUUUACGUCCAGCCUUAUGAAUGAAACCGUCUGGUAUUCAAACGGAAAAAAUCAACUUCUUGUCGGUGCAGUGGGUGGCUCAACCUGAUUCGACGUUUUAUCUUUUGUUUGGUGAGAUCAGAAGUGUGUUUAUAUAUUAAAACCAGUUUCAGAGCACUAUUUGCGACAUAGGCGAUUGCUAGGAGGCCAAAUGGGCCCAUACAACAUAACCUUUUUAUUAUCUUACCUUCGAGGAAAGAGUUGAAAAUUAUUUUAUUUUUGUUAUGAAAUUCAUCAGCAUCUAGAAACGACAUUUCAGCAAUCUUUGUCAGUCUCUGUGCAGACGUUUUUGGAAAACCUUCCAAAAACUGGUCGAUAAUUCUACUAAAUUUCUCAGCAAUUUGGUUGAAGUGUGUGGUACCGUUGUCAUCAUUGUAUUUUGAUGGAAACGAAAUUAUUUCAGCCAAUAACCGUUACUCCAAAAGGGAAUUCAGGCUACAUACGGUGGUUGCUCGGUUUAUUCUCCCCGAAUAAGAUAUUCGCAUUACGUUUUGAGGUUAUGGCACCGUGGGGGAACCAUUUCGCGAAUGCGGCCGCACGGCAUGCGGAUACCAAAUGGAUGCUUUUGGCGGCAGUGCAGAGAGUUUACAGAUAUGCAAAUAUUAUGACUGCUGAAUAACGUGAGUGGAUUAAAUUUAGUUGAUUUCCAUGGCGAA